rnacentral:rRNA from 1 species
AACGAACGCUGGCGGCAUGCCUAACACAUGCAAGUCGAACGAGACCUCCGGGUCUUGUGGCGCACGGCGGCGUACCGCGUGGGAACUUGCCCUUAGGUUCGGAAUAACUCCCCGAAAGGGGUGCUAAUACCGGAUAAUGUCUUCGGACCAAAGAUUUCUCGCUUUUGGAUGGGCCCGCGUUGGAUUAGCUGGUUGGUAGGGUAAAAGCCUACCAAGGCGACGUUGCAUAGCUGGUCUGAGAGGAUGCUCAGCCACACUGGGACUGCGACACGGCCCAGACUCCUACGGGAGGGAGCAGUGGAGAAUAUUGGACGAUGGGCGAAGGCCUGAUCCAGCAAUGCCGCGUGAGUGAUGAAGGCCUUAGGGUUGUAAAGCUCUUUUACCCGGGAUGAUAAUGACGGUACCGGGAGAAUAAGCUCCGGCUAACUCCGUG